rnacentral:rRNA from 1 species
GAGUUUGAUCCUGGCUCAGAACGAACGCUGGCGGCGUGCCUAACACAUGCAAGUCGAACGAGAAAGUGGGCUUCGGCUCACGAGUACAGUGGCAGACGGGUGAGUAACACGUGGGUAACCCGCCCGGAGGUGGGGAAUAACUCUCCGAAAGGAGAGCUAAUACCGCAUAACAUCUCGAGUUUGCGGACUCGAGAUCAAAGCUAGCCUCUUCUUGAAAGCUAGCGCCACCGGAGGGGCCCGCGCCCCAUUAGCUUGUUGGCGGGGUAACGGCCCACCAAGGCUCCGAUGGGUAGCCGGCCUGAGAGGGUGAUCGGCCACACUGGAACUGGGACACGGUCCAGACUCCUACGGGAGGCAGCAGUGAGGAAUUUUGCGCAAUGGGCGAAAGCCUGACGCAGCGACGCCGCGUGGAGGACGAAGGCCUUCGGGUCGUAAACUCCUGUCGAGAGGGACGAAUGCGUGGGGGAUGAAUAAGCCUCUGCGUUGACGGUACCUCUGGAGGAAGCCCCGGCUAACUCCGUGCCAGCAGCCGCGGUAAUACGGAGGGGGCCAGCGUUGUUCGGAAUUAUUGGGCGUAAAGGGCGCGUAGCGGCUUGGUCAGUCC